rnacentral:rRNA from 1 species
UACGUAGGUGGCAAGCGUUGUCCGGAAUUAUUGGGCGUAAAGGGCGCGUAGGCGGCUUUGCAAGUGACGGGUGAAAGCCCUCGGCUUAACCGAGGAACUCCCUGUCAGACUGUGAGGCUUGAGACCGGGAGAGGUGAGUGGAAUUCCCAGUGUAGCGGUGAAAUGCGUAGAUAUUGGGAGGAACACCAGUGGCGAAGGCGGCUCACUGGACCGGUUCUGACGCUGAGGCGCGAAAGCGUGGGGAGCAAACGGG